ACUGUACUGCGCACUGGCAAGGCACUCCUGGGUGUGAAUCAGGGCCGCUCUUCGUCCCUCAGGUCUCCCGGUUUAACAGUGUCAUUUGCAGGGAGGGGCCCGGUUACACGCAUCAGAAGCGACGAAACGACACAGUGUCGGCCCCGGAGGCGACCAAUGCAACAUGGGGAAGGAGUAAAGUGGCUGAGAGGGAGGGGCCACAACCUGUUCCCUUUGAAGGCAGGUUUUCCCACCGUUCGCUCGCUUUCUUUCCAGAGCCACCAUGGUGGAGCGGGCCUGGCAGGUCUGCACCAGCCGAGAUUCUACAUUUGCCGAUGGGGAAGGUGGUGAAAUGAAGAUACUUGUCACCUACCUUAGUCAAAAGGAUGGUGUGAGGACUAAUGAGAAUGAAUAGAAUGUAACCUGAACUAACUGGAAAAAAUAUACCCAGAUUAUGAUUCUAUUAUUCAUCAAGAUAUGUGUAUAUUUACCAGACUUUAAACUUUGCACACCCGGCUCCAAACCAUGUAGUCUUUCCCUAAAUAUAUUCUGAAUUUCUCUGUAAAAUAAAUGGAUUAUGAAAAUAUGACCAUUUUAAAA